GAUGAACGCUGGCGGCGUGCCUAAUACAUGCAAGUCGAGCGAACAGACGAGGAGCUUCUCCUCUGACGUUAGCGGCGGACGGGUGAGUAACACGUGGAUAACCUACCUAUAAGACUGGGAUAACUUCGGGAAACCGGAGCUAAUACCGGAUAAUAUAUUGAACCGCAUGGUUCAAUAGUGAAAGACGGUUUUGCUGUCACUUAUAGAUGGAUCCGCGCCGCAUUAGCUAGUUGGUAAGGUAACGGCUUACCAAGGCGACGAUGCGUAGCCGACCUGAGAGGGUGAUCGGCCACACUGGAACUGAGACACGGUCCAGACUCCUACGGGAGGCAGCAGUAGGGAAUCUUCCGCAAUGGGCGAAAGCCUGACGGAGCAACGCCGCGUGAGUGAUGAAGGUCUUCGGAUCGUAAAACUCUGUUAUUAGGGAAGAACAAAUGUGUAAGUAACUAUGCACGUCUUGACGGUACCUAAUCAGAAAGCCACGGCUAACUACGUG
rnacentral:rRNA from 1 species